rnacentral:rRNA from 1 species
AGUACCUUACUACUUGGAUAACCGUGGUAAUUCUAGAGCUAAUACAUGCUAAAAAUCCCGACUUUGGAAGGGAUGUAUUUAUUAGAUUAAAAACCAAUGCCCUCUGGGCUCCUUGGUGAUUCAUGAUAACUUUUCGAAUCGCACGGCCUUGCGCCGGCGAUGGUUCAUUCAAAUUUCUUCCCUAUCAACUUUCGAUGUUUGGGUAUUGGCCAAACAUGGUCGCAACGGGUAACGGAGGGUUAGGGCUCGACCCCGGAGAAGGAGCCUGAGAAACGGCUACUACAUCCAAGGAAGGCAGCAGGCGCGCAAAUUACCCAAUCCCGAUUCGGGGAGGUAGUGACAAUAAAUACUGAUACAGGGCUCUUUUGGGUCUUGUAAUUGGAAUGAGUACAAUUUAAAUCCCUUAACGAGGAACAAUUGGAGGGCAAGUCUGGUGCCAGCAGCCGCGGUAAUUCCAGCUCCAAUAGCGUAUAUUAAAGUUGUUGUGGUUAAAAAGCUCGUAGUUGAACCUUGGGCCUGGCUGGCCGGUCCGCCUCACCGCGUGUACUGGUCCGGCCGGGCCUUUCCCUCUGUGGAACCUCAUGCCCUUCACUGGGUGUGGCGGGGAAACAGGACUUUUACUUUGAAAAAAUUAGAGUGCUCCAGGCAGGCCUAUGCUCGAAUACAUUAGCAUGGAAUAAUGAAAUAGGACGUGUGGUUCUAUUUUGUUGGUUUCUAGGACCGCCGUAAUGAUUAAUAGGGACAGUCGGGGGCAUCAGUAUUCAAUUGUCAGAGGUGAAAUUCUUGGAUUUAUUGAAGACUAACUACUGCGAAAGCAUUUGCCAAGGAUGUUUUCAUUAAUCAGGAACGAAAGUUAGGGGAUCGAAGACGAUCAGAUACCGUCGUAGUCUUAACCAUAA